CAAGUGGCUAUUUCUUUUGGGUAACGGACAUGAGAUGAAGAAAGAAGAAUCUGUCCAAUGCUGAGCAAAAGCACUUUACUGGUACCACACAAGAAGAAGAGAGUGCAAUGACACUACACACAUAUCAAGCAUCUACCGUGUGCUAGGCAUUGUGCUAGGCUCCGGGAAUAACUCAGAGAACAACACAGACAAGACUUGGAGCUUACACACUAUUAAGGAAGAUGGAAGAAAAUUAACCUGGAAAUAAAAUAACUGCAAAGUGUGACAAGCCAUACAUAAUGUGAGAUUAUAUUCAGAAUAUAGCUACGUGAUGACAUCAGAGCAAGUGGAAUAGUUUGAUGAAUGUUUUUGUGCCUGCAGUAGGUAGCCUCUAAGAUGACCUUCAAGGAUCCCUUCGAUGUGGGUAUAGUAUUCCUACUCUCCUGUGACACUCUCCCCACUGGUGUGUAGGUUGGACUUAAUGAAUCACUUCUAAUGAACAGAAUGUAGCAGAAGUGAUGGGAUGUCAUUUCUGAGAUUAGGUUACAGAAAGACUGUGGCUUCAUCUUAAGUGCGCCCUCUUGUUCUGUUGCUCACUUUGAGGGGAGACAAUUGCUAUGCUGUGAGCUGCACUGUGGAGAGGCCUCUGGUCAACAGCCAGUGAGGAACUGAGGUCCUCAGUCCAACACCUCACGAGGAACUGAAUCCUACCAACAACCACACGAGUGAGCUGGGAAGCAGAUGUUUCCAGCAAUCUCAUGAGAAACCUGAAGCAAGAGGUACCCAGUUAAGCAGCAUCCAGAUUCCUGACUCUUGGAAACAGCAUAAAUGUUCAACGCACAAAUUUAGAGAGAACAGAGAAGCAAACAAGAAGAGAGUGAAAGUCGACUUUGGACGGCUCCUCAGAGGACUGCUGUCGAGACCGAAUGCCCUAUUGAUUUCAGUUGACAGCGUUUGCCUAUCCUUUUUCUUUUUUUAAACAUCACGAACAAGAUUUUUUAUGUCACCAUUAAAAGUCUGAAUUUUAAGCAAAUUCUUGGAUAGUUGGCUCAUAUCCAGAAACACCUGUCUCAUCUUCAGUGGCUUUUCCAGAACCAUUACCUUCGCCAUGAAACUCCAUGAGUUUUCCCAAUUCAAACUUAGGCUUCUGCAGCAUUUUACUUUUCCAACAAGUACAUCAUGGCGCGGGAUAAAUAGAUUGGUAAGCCUUUUCUAUGUCUUUACCAAUGCUUUCUGAAUGAAUUUAUUGAUCACGUCUUUCAAGCCGUUCACAUCUCUGGGGUCAUGAUUUCCACCAUCUUCUUCCGGAUUUGAUGGACUUGUUUGUACUGAGUGUAAGAGGGUCUUCUGAAUCUGGUUAUUGAGUUUUUUCAGUAACACUAAUACAGAAUAGAUGAAGCAAAUGAUCAUCGUUAGUCUUGACGUCAACAUGAGCUUCAAUCAUGGUUUCCCGUGUUUUGACCCUGGAGCACAUUAUGUCAAAAGGUAAGAUCCAGCCAUAGAGGUUAGUCAGGUAGUUUUUGCCCUGAACACCCUCUGUAAUC
rnacentral:lncRNA from 1 species